AGGACUGGACUUACUGCAGGUGGGGAAAUAGGAGGACUGGACUUACUGCAGAGGGGGAAAUAGGAGGACUUGACUUACUUCAGGGGGAAAUAGGAGGACUUGACUUACUUCAGGGGGAAAUAGGAGGACUGGACUUACUGCCUGGGGGAAAUAGGAGGACUGGACUUACUGCAGGGGGGAAAUAGGAGGACUGGACUUACUGCAGGGGGAAAUAGGAGGACUGGACUUACUGCAGAGGGGGAAAUAGGAGACUGACUGGAGGGGGAAAUAGGAGGACUGGACUUACUGCAGGGGGAAAAGGAGGGCUGGACUUACUGCAGGGGGGAAAUAGGAGGACUGGACUUACUGCAGGGGGAAAAUAGGAGGACUUACUGCAGGGAGGAAAUAGGAAGAGGACAGAACUUACUGCAGGGGGAUAGGAAUGUUAUAAUAUCUGUACAUUAUAGGAACACCUGUAUUCACAAAAGUACAAUGAUUAAUGUUUUACUUUAGCUUGAGAUUAAGAAUCAGCGGAAGAGACAUUUCUAAGUGCAUGAAGAGGUACAAAAGAUGCCUGUUUUAUUGAAACUCUACUUUCAGUUCCUGUUGAUACUAUGUCCAGUCUUACUUCUGCUAGCACAUGAUAGCAAUAAGUGGAAGAAGGAUUGGGAGACUAACUGCCAAUAACACAAAAAGCUCAACAGAGACAGAGACAUCUUUGUAAUCAGGUUAAAGGACAUCACCCUGGGUGGGGUGAACCUCAGUAGGGGAUAAAAAGGGAAGACGCCAUCUUGAAAACUGAGUGUGUUUACUCUGGAGUUGCAAUCCUUAUUAAACAAACUAACCUCUGAUCAAAUAAGUUUUCUGUGGUCUCGUGUAUGAACUGAGGGCAGAAAUCCCUGACAGGGGGAAAUGGGGUGAGGACUGGACUUACUGCAGGGAGGACUGGACUUACUGUAGGGAGGACUGGACUUACUGCAGGGAGGACUGGACUUACUACAGGGAGGACUGGACUUACUGCAGGGAGGACUGGACUUACUGCAGGGAGGACUGGACUUACUGCAGGGAGGACUGGACUUACUG
ensembl:lncRNA